GACGAACGCUGGCGGCGUGCUUAACACAUGCAAGUCGAACGGAAAGGCCCUGCUUUUGUGGGGUGCUCGAGUGGCGAACGGGUGAGUAACACGUGAGUAACCUGCCCUUGACUUUGGGAUAACUUCAGGAAACUGGGGCUAAUACCGGAUAGGAGCUCAUGCUGCAUGGUGGGGGUUGGAAAGUUUCGGCGGGUGGGGAUGGACUAGCGGCUGAUCAGCUUGUUGGUGGGGUAGUGGCUGACCAAGGCUUUGACGGGUAGCCGGCCUGAGAGGGUGACCGGCCACAUUGGGCCUGAGAUACGGCCCAGACUCCUACGGGAGGCAGCAGUGGCGAAUCUUGCACAAUGGGCGGAAGCCUGAUGCAGCAACGCUGCGUUCGGGAUGACGUCCUUCGGGUUGUAAACCGCUUUCGCCUGUGACGAAGCGUGAGUGACGGUAAUGGGUAAAGAAGCACCGGCUAACUACGUG
rnacentral:rRNA from 1 species